rnacentral:rRNA from 1 species
CCUGCGGAAGGAUCAUUAUCGUACAACAGGAGGUGCCGAGGUUGUCGCUGACCCCCCUUAGGUCGUGCACGCCUCGAGCAUUCUUACUCCUCAUCCACCCCUCACCCCUUGUGCAUCCCCGCGUGGGCUUUUUCUCUCUUACGAGAGAGAGCCGGCGUCUUUACACAAACACAAAGCAGCCUAGAAUGUUCUUUUUUUGCAUUUGUAUGCAGUUAAUAUAACUUUCAACAACGGAUCUCUUGGCUCUCGCAUCGAUGAAGGACGCAGCGAAAUGCGAUACGUAAUGUGAAUUGCAGAAUUCAGUGAAUCAUCGAAUCUUUGAACGCACCUUGCGCCCCUUGGUAUUCCGAAGGGCACACCCGUUUGAGUGUCAUGAAGUUCUCAACCUUCUUUUUUUCAAUUUAAAGAAAGGCUUGGACUUUGGAGGCUUUUUGCCGGUUUCUCUUGAAGGAGAUCGGCUCCUCUUAAAUGGAUUAGUAGGAUCCCUUUUGUGCUGGUCCUUGACGUGAUAAGGCUUUUACGUCUGGAGCUCUUAGCCAUAUAAGGCCUGCUUCUAAUCGUCUCUCAAGACAAAUCAUAUGAACGAACCCCUUUGACCUCAAAUCGGGUGAGACUACCCGCUGAACUUAAGCAUAUCAAUAAG